AUGUUCUUUUUCUAUCUCUGCAUUUUUCGUCUCCCUUACUCUCUCUAUCUCUGUUCUUUCUUCUCUUUUAGAUGUUUUUCCAUUCUCCUUCCUACACAUUUCUCUCUCUCUGUUCUAAUUUCUCUUUUCUCUCUCUUUUCUACCCAAACCCUAACACUGUCGUCACCCCUCUUUCUUCACCAUAUCUAA